GAAAUGCGAUAAGUAAUGUGAAUUGCAGAAUUCAGUGAAUCAUCGAAUCUUUGAACGCACCUUGCGCUCCUUGGUAUUCCGAGGAGCAUGCCUGUUUGAGUGUCAUUAAAUUCUCAACCCCUCCAGCUUUUGUGAGUUGCGAUGGGGCUUGGAAGGUGGGAGUUUGCGGGCCUCUGUAAUAGAGGUCGGCUCUCCUGAAAUGCAUUAGCGGAACCGUUUGCAGUCCCGUCACUAGUGUGAUAAUUAUCUACACUGUGAUGAUUGCUCUCUGGCUUGUUCAGCUACUAAUCGUCCUUUACCGGACAAUGUAUAAUGAACAUCUUGACCUCAAAUCAGGUAGGACUACCCGCUGAACUUAA
rnacentral:misc_RNA from 1 species